AUGAACGCUAGCGAUAGGCUUAACACAUGCAAGUCGAGGGGCAGCAUGGUCUUAGCUUGCUAAGACUGAUGGCGACCGGCGCACGGGUGCGUAACGCGUAUGCAACUUGCCUCACAGAGGGGGAUAACCCGUCGAAAGACGGACUAAUACCGCGUACACUCUAUUUUGGGCAUCCAAGGUAGAGGAAAUGAAAUUCGCUGUGAGAUAGGCAUGCGUCCCAUUAGCUAGUUGGUGAGGUAACGGCUCACCAAGGCGACGAUGGGUAGGGGAACUGAGAGGUUGAACCCCCACACUGGUACUGAGACACGGACCAGACUCCUACGGGAGGCAGCAGUGAGGAAUAUUGGUCAAUGGGCGAGAGCCUGAACCAGCCAAGUCGCGUGAAGGAUGACUGUCUUAUGGAUUGUAAACUUCUUUUGUAGGGGAAUAAAGAGGGGCACGUGUGCCCCAGUGAAUGUACCCUACGAAUAAGCAUCGGCUAACUCCGUG
rnacentral:rRNA from 1 species